rnacentral:misc_RNA from 1 species
GAUGAAGAACGUAGCGAAAUGCGAUAAGUAAUGUGAAUUGCAGAAUUCAGUGAAUCAUCGAGUUUUUGAACGCAUAUUGCGCCCUCUGGUAUUCCGGGGGGCAUGCCUGUUCGAGCGUCAUUUAAACCUUCAAGCUCAGCUUGGUGUUGGGUGACUGUCCGCUUCACCGCGGACUCGCCUCAAAAUUAUUGGCGGCCGGUACAUUGGCUUCGAGCGCAGCAGAAACGCGAACUCGGGCCCGUCGUAUUGGCUCCCAGAAGCUAUCUUCACAAUUUUGACCUCGGAUCAGGUAGGGAUACCCGCUGAACUUAAGCAUAUCAAUAAGCGGAGGA